GGUGGUAUAGCUCAGUUGGUUAGAGCGCAGCAUUCAUAAUGCUGAAGUCGGUGGUUCAAAUCCACCUACCACCACCA
rnacentral:tRNA from 2 species